rnacentral:rRNA from 1 species
ACGGGGCGCAGCAGGCGCGAAAACUGCACAAUGUGGGCAACCACGAUGCGGGAAACCCAAGUGCCAGCGCUAUGCGUUGGCUGUCCUCCAGUGUUCGUAACUGGGGAAGAAAGUGCUGGGUAAGACGGGCGCCAGCCGCCGCGGUAAUACCCGCAGCACAAGUGGUGGUCAUUAUUAUUGGGCCUAAAGCGUCUGUAGCUGGCUUGUUAGAUGCCUGGGUAAAUCGAUGCGCUCAACGCAUCGAACUCCGGGUAGACCGGCAAGCUUGGGACCGGGAGAGGCGUGAGCUACUCGAGGGGUAGGGGUAAAAUCCUGUAAUCCUUCGGGAGGACCAGUGGCGAAGGCGUCACGCUGGAACGGCUCCGACAGUGAGGGACGAAGCCCUGGGGCGCAAACCGGAUUAGAUACCCGGGUAGUCCAGGGUGUAAACGCUGCAGACUUGGUGUCGCUGAUCCUACGAGGGUUGGCGGUGCCGUAGAGAAGUUGUUUAGUCUGCCGCCUGGGGAGUACGGUCGCAAGACUGAAACUCAAAGGAAUUGACGGA